rnacentral:ncRNA from 1 species
AAACUUGCCAUUGUUUUUAAUCAAGAUUAUACAUGCAAGCUUCCACACACCAGUGAGAAUGCCCACCACCCCUGAACAGAACGCCGGAGCAGGUAUCAGGCCCAACCAAAGUUAGCCUACCAACCCUUGCAACGCCACACCCACACGGGCCUUCAGCAGUAAUUAACAUUGGGCCAUGAACGAAAGUUCGACCCGGCUAUGAUUUAAAAAGUUGGUAAAUUCCGUGCCAGCCACCGCGGUUACACGAAAGACUAAGAACAAGGGCCCCCGGCGUAAAGAGUGACCAGAAUUAUAUCAACACCUUAAGGACAAACCACCACAAAGCUGUGAAACGCUACUACGACUGGGAGCCUGUACCCCUUAAACAAAAGAUCUAUUUAAUUCACGAAAGUUAAGAGACAAACUGGGAUUAGAUACCCCACUAUGCUUAACCAUAAACACAGACAGUACCAACACAAUACUGUCCGCCAGAGAACUACAAGCGAAAAGCUAGAAACUCUAAGGACUUGGCGGUGCUCCACACCGGCCUAGAGGAGCCUGUCCUAUAAUCGAUACCCCACGUUCCACCUCACCAUCCUUUGCCAAUCAGCCUAUAUACCGCCGUCGUCAGCCCACCUUAUAAAAGACAAACAGUGGGCACAAGAGUAAACAACAAACACGUCAGGUCAAGGUGUAGCAUAUAAGAUGGUAGAGAUGGGCUACAUUUUCUCUAACAGAACACACGAAUGGGUAGAUGAAAUAAACCCUGAAGGCGGAUUUAGCAGUCAGAUGGGCAAGCAAUACCAUCUUAAACCCGCUCUGGAGCGCGCACACACCGCCCGUCACCCUCAUCACCAAAAAAAUACCAUACCAUAUAAACACACUAAAAUACAGAUGAGGUAAGUCGUAACACGGUAAG